rnacentral:rRNA from 1 species
AGUGAACGCUGGCGGUAGGCCUAACACAUGCAAGUCGAACGGCAGCACAGUAAGAGCUUGCUCUUACGGGUGGCGAGUGGAGGACGGGUGAGGAAUACAUCGGAAUCUACUUUUUCGUGGGGGAUAACGUAGGGAAACUUACGCUAAUACCGCAUACGACCUACGGGUGAAAGCAGGGGAUCUUCGGACCUUGCGCGAUUGAAUGAGCCGAUGUCGGAUUAGCUAGUUGGCGGGGUAAAGGCCCACCAAGGCGACGAUCCGUAGCUGGUCUGAGAGGAUGAUCAGCCACACUGCAACUGAGACACGGUCCAGACUCCUACGGGAGGCAGCAGUGGGGAAUAUUGGACAAUGGGCUCAAGCCUGAUCCAGCCCUACCGCGUGGGUCAAGAAGGCCUUCGGGUUGUAAAGCCCUUUUGUUGGGAAAGAAAAGCAGCAGGUUAAUACCCCGCUGUUCUGACGGUACCCAAAGAAUAAGCACCGGCUAACUUCGUG